UGCAAAUCUGCAUUUCUAAUGUUUCCAGGUGAUGCGUUGCUGCCAUCUGAGGGCUGUGCUUUGAGUAGCAAAUCUCUGGAGCGUCCAUCAUCCUUACUCCCCUGGUCAGGAAGAUUAUAUGAUACAACCAGCAAACCUUCGAGCCUGUCCCUGAAACCCACAAGAAGUAGCCAGCACACUGUAACCCGGCAUUCUCCAUUGGACCCUGAAGCUCAAGAGAGAAUGAUGUGUGGUUUCCUGGCCAGCUACUUCGUGACCAAAUAACCUCACAGAGUCACCUGGCUUGAGGCCUCAUAGAGGAGCCCUCAGUGCUGACCACACACUACAG